rnacentral:lncRNA from 1 species
UACUAAAUCAAAGAUUGCAUUAAUUUUCCAUUUAUAGAUAACAGCCAGAAUCCGGGAAGCUCAAAAUUGGAAGACUAAUCUGGUCUCUUCCAUUCAUGCUUGGUUGGUUAAAGUCCAGACAACCUUGAAACGGUUGAAAUUAACAUAUUGUAUCAGGUUUAGGGAAGGGAGAUUAAAGCCCCUUUGAUAUGGGGGACGACUUUAGCAAAGUCCUUCUAAAUAAGAGACAAUAUUCCUGUGGCAAUAUUGACGAUAGAGAGAAAUGGUGGACUUUACAUUGCACAGGGCUUGCAUCAUCCUGGAUAGUGGUCACUUAGGGUGGGUGGGUAUGCAAUGUUAAGAAAGGACCCAGGUUUUUAAAGAGUCCAGCCACACCCUGCUUUUUGCAUUUCCAGUUUCACGCAUGAGCACCAAAACAUGGGUGCUGCACUGCAGAUGCACCCUGACAUAACACACCAGAAUUUAUUAAAAUAUCUAUUUUAUCCUUGAGAAAGAAGGAUCAAAUGAAUAAUCAGAGUCUGGAACAUCCUAAAAGCAAGGGAGAGAAGAUCUGGAUAAUGGAACCCAGGAGAACAUUCACACUGGCCCAUUUACCACUGAUUUACUCCUGAAUGUCAUAUCCCUGCAGCAUUAGAAACUGAGAUAUGAAAGCUACGUGCUAAAUGACACCUUAAACCUAGGUUAUGGGUGCAACAACAGAGUGUCUAGGUGUGCUUUUUGAUAACAAGAAUACGGUGCUGAAAAUGUAUGAACUGCAGCUAAACUUUGAUGUUCAUUUUUAACAUGGUCUACUCCUUCCCCUGCCCACCCCCCUAAUAUUCUUAAGAGGGUCUCUUUUCCAGUCUUCAGAGUAGCUGGAAAUGGGGAGGCAGAAAAAGGUAUUCCUUUCUUUCCACUCUGCAGUUUUAAUCUGAAAUCUUAGGCACAGCACUGUGCCUGGAGCUGAGAAACUGCUCACACUAAGGAAAUUCCCUGUCGCAAAAUGUGCCUAGAAGAAUGUGAGUUUCAAACAUCCCCCUUUUCAUGCAGGAAAGAUAUGGUUCUGAGCUACAGCAGGGCAUCUUCUGCUUUCCUAGGCAGCAUCCUCUGCGCAUGUGGGAGCCAUGGGACAGCCAUAAAUUACAGCUCUGAUGGUAAGAGUUUGCAUACAAAGAUGAAAAAGUACCAUGGCCAAUGACAAGUGAUUCAGUUAGCAUUUCAAGGUGAGUUUACGUAAUUUGCAGUUUUCAAAACAAUACACAAACCGAAAUACAGACAGCCUUUGAUCAUCACAUCUCUCCAGAUUUUGCAAUGCAGCUCUCCAGCCAAGUAGCGUGUAUGGAAAAUGUAUAUGCUUGGGAAAGUUUUCAUCUAAAUGUUUCAAUAAUAAUAAUAAUAGAAAUAUGCAUUGUAUUGGGAAAAACUGUAUUGCAAAAAUGUGUGUAUCGGACAAAAUUGCACAUAAUAAUUGCAUACAUCAGGAGAAAUCCUCACAAACUCAGCGAGAAAUUUUCACGAGGACUUGAAAAAAUAUCCCAAACGGGUGUAGAAAUGUGGAGAACUGAGCAUAAUGUUGGACCAAUGGGAAACGGAGAGAAAUCAAAAGUGACAGAUUCUACCUGUGAAAGCAGAGAGCAGAUUGUGCAAAAUGGCCCCAGGUACAACGAUCUGGGCAGACUCACAUGUUACAGUCACUACAUGGGGCCCUCACCAAUGUUUCCCAAAGCAGACACAUUAUGCCGUAUCCAUCUUUAAACAGCCACGUGGACCAGUCUGGGCCUGUAUUUCCAGAUGCAUGUAUGUGCAUGAGAAACAUGCAUGCACGCUGACGUUCCCUGCAGCAAUCAUCAUAACAUGCAGAGUCGCUUCACUCUCCAGAGAGAAGGCAGUCAAAGGAAAGAACAGUCAUCCCCGAAUUACUGCCUAAAAAUAAACUCACCUCAGAACCACAACACCAGUGAUUCUCAAAAUAUUUUUCUAAUGAGGAGCCACACCUUGGGAGAAGCGGAGAUUGCCUUCUCCAGUUGCCUUCUCUUCCCAGGUUGCAAUGAUCGCAAAACACCCCUGAGGCAAUUAGAGCAACAGAGGAGAGCGGUUUCUUAAUGUGUUUGCUUUGCGUCUUGAAACACAACAGCGCGAAAGUGGCUGGCAACCAAGAGGAUAUCCCCUGAGAAGCUGGAGCCUGACUGCUUUGGGUCCAGUGGCAAGUCCCUGGAAACGUGUCAUCUUUUAUAAUACAUCCUCUGAGCACCCUCAAAUCCUGAUUGGAUCCCAGCCUGGCCUCCUGGUUCGCUAGGAACCUUACAAGAACUCCCUGGCUCAAGCAAAUCCCCAAGCUGCAAUCCUAUACGUGCCUACCUAAGCGUAAGCUCCACUCAACCCAGCAGGACUUACUUCCGAGUAGGCAUGCAAUGCCUAUCUUCAAUAACCUUCAAUAACUCUCCUUCUACUUUAUCCAGAUCUUGAUUAACUCACAUUUGGUUUCCCCACAGGCACGAUUCCUGUACCUUUAAGGU